GAUGAACGCUGGCGGCGUGCCUAAUACAUACAAGUCGAGCGAACAGACGAGGAGCUUGCUCCUCUGACGUUAGCGGCGGACGGGUGAGUAACACGUGGAUAACCUACCUAUAAGACUGGGAUAACUUCGGGAAACCGGAGCUAAUACCGGAUAAUAUAUUGAACCGCAUGGUUCAAUAGUGAAAGACGGUUUUGCUGUCACUUAUAGAUGGAUCCGCGCCGCAUUAGCUAGUUGGUAAGGUAACGGCUUACCAAGGCAACGAUGCGUAGCCGACCUGAGAGGGUGAUCGGCCACACUGGAACUGAGACACGGUCCAGACUCCUACGGGAGGCAGCAGUAGGGAAUCUUCCGCAAUGGGCGAAAGCUUGACGGAGCAACGCCGCGUGGGUGAUGAAGGUCUUCGGAUCGUAAAACUCUGUUAUUAGGGAAGAACAAAUGUGUAAGUAACUAUGCACGUCUUGACGGUACCUAAUCAGAAAGCCACGGCUAACUACGUG
rnacentral:rRNA from 1 species